GGCAGGCAGGCUGUGAAGAAGCGUUGUUGUAAAUGAGAGUUGGGGGCCCAAAUGAUCAGCCAGGGUGGGCACCUCCCAUGAAGACCACGCUCCCCCCGGCGGCGGUGUUAUUUUCCUCCCCCGUGUGCUGGAUCUGCCCGCAACCUGGCCCUAGGGCAGCCCCUCCGAAUUAAAAUUUUCCAGCGCGGGCACCGUCCCGUCGCGCAUGGCCCUGGCCCGGCGGACAGGGCCGCUGCGUCGCGUUCCUUCGUUCUCGAUCUCGCUCACUCGCUCAAACUGGUUUGUUGUGGCGUGGGGGCAAGAGAGAGCAUAUAAUAUCAUGUGCGAAAUCGGGGACUUCGUUGCUCAAGGCCAAGCUGCUUUCAUUCCCCACUUCACCUCGCCUGCUCCCGUGCUCGUUCUGCUCUCCUCACCUUCGUCGCAACUCCUUCUCACAGUCCCCUCUGCAACGACGUUGAAAGUUUCGUUUCCUUGAGCUCUUCUGUCAAGGAAACAACACUCCUGCGCAGUUUGUCCUAGUAUUUCAGCAUUUCUCUCGAACUGUGUCAUGCUGAGUGUGUGAUCGUGUCACGAUUUUUGGAUUGUGGCUCGCGUUGCACUCGUGGGACGAGGUAGCUUUCGACGCCAGCGGGAGGUUUUUCUGCGUUUGUUACUUGAGACGUUUUGGAGAUAGUUUUUUUGGGUGGUUUUGGAGAUUUGGGUUUUUGUGUUAGGUUUGAAGUUAGCAGCUGAGUUGUUGGAGUUUUUGGUUGGGUUGGAUACAAGAAACACAAGUGGGGCUUCUGGUGCUGCAUUGUCAUUUUUGGGUCAGAAUUUAGUUUGUGAACUAGGUUAGCUGCGUGCGUUAGCAAUGGCACCCGCCGCAGCAGUGUGCAGCACCAUGGUUCAGAAGCAGUCCCAGGAGCCAAAACAGGUUGUGUCCGGAAAGAGGCGUCUCACUCUGGACAGCUGGGUUUCACAGCCGUCGCACGAGGCAGUGCGCGCCAGUAGUGGCAGCUCGUCUGGAAGUUCUUGUACCACGCAAAAGGGCUCGUCCCUGGACAAGACUUUAACAUUGGUCACUGGGGAUGACGAAGCUUGCUCACGAGUUUCGGCGUGCGUGACGCCAAAAUCCAAGAAGCAUAGAAUUCCAGUCGUAGACGUUGACCUGUGCCCUCCAGCGCCGAAGAAGCCCCGCUCAAUAGGUCGAAUACAAGUUGUAUGCGCACUCAAAUUUGAAAUCUCCAACUUCUAUCAGAAAUUGAGCGUCUCGCCUAAGUACUUUUGUUGAGCAUCUUGUUCCGGGGGAUUUCUUGGUAUAUCAACGUUUCGGAGAUAGGCUGGGAGCUUCUGGUGGAGUCGCGUGGCUGCUUUCACUUCGAAGAAGUCUUGCUAUAUGAUUCAAUUACUAGUUUCCUGCUUAACAAAAUGUUAACAACUCUGUCCUCCUUCAGCUAUUGGGCUUGUCAGCUCACUAUCUGCUCUUAGCUACUUUCCAAGGAGGUUUGAUUGGUCUGUCUUCCCCGCGCAGACUGGCUGAGUUUCUGACAGAGUUACAUGGUGCCUUCCCUUUGAGAAGUUGGAGCUGGUGCAGUUCGGCACGUUGUGCAUUGCCGUGUAGAUGACUGCACAACUUCCACAAAUCGUAGUGAUUUCGAAAUCAAGGCAUACGAAACUUUUUCAGUAAACCAAAAAAAUCAAGAAGUACUGGAGUUGAUCAUGAGGAUUAUAAUAAUAGCGAUGGGGCAAGGCGGAAUGAGCCUAUGCAUUGCUACCAGAGUGAAAAAACUCAAAUGAGGGAGUUUGGAUUCGUCUUCUAAUCGAAGAACCAAAGAGCGCGUUGAAAUUGGGUGUCAAGAAACCCGUUGUUUGAAAACGUCAGUUGCAGCGUAGAUGAUUAAAAUACUUGGCUCUCAGCUGAGUAUGCAGUGCACACCAUCGACCUUAUAAAACAUCGGCGACUUUUCGUUAUGUGGUCGCAGGCCCGUGUCAUACUGCAGCAAGGGGACCCUGGCUGUUCGAAAUUGCGGUUCCAGCAACUUUUAGUGGAUAUCUACAAGUGUUUGUCAUCUUAGUAGACUUAAAGCUGGCACUGCGGAUAUCUACUGGUAGCAGUGGGUCGGAUGAUAUUUUACGAAGUUGUUCAGAUUGCUGCUAUCAUAGCUUUGUAAGUAAAUGGGAUGAUCAAUACUAAGUACAAGCACUCUGUGUUCUUUUUGUCACUGGAAGUACAAGCAUUUUGAGUUAA